AUGAGCAAAAUGAAUCCCAGCAAGAUGAAGGACAUCACCCAAAGUCAUAGAAUCAGAACUGAAAUCCACAUUGCUGGACUCCUGACCCAUCUUCUAACAUUUAUAAGACAUAACCUCUGGAUGAGGGAAGACUAUGUUUGGGGAGAAAAUAAAGCCAUGGACUUGGAACUGGAAACCAGGAAUUCUGACAGGCAGAGGUGUAAGAAAGUGAAAUUCAUGGAGGUGGAGAAGCAUAUGGAAGGGGAAAAAAAUGGACCUUCAUACAUGAGGAACAAGGUAAAAGACUCAAUUGACUAGACCAUAGAGUUUACCUGUAAUAAGGGUUCCUGCAGCUUUAGACCACAGGGGUGGCAAUUCCUAGUCUUGUAGCUCAUCAGCCCUUGCUGGUAUACUUGCCAUUAGCAAUCAACCAAUAGAUCUAAAAGUCUUUGUCUUCUUUGUAGAAAGUUCUAUUUGCAUUCCCAUGGUCUGCUUCUCUAAAAAGUCCAUACUCCUUUGGGGCUUUUCUGAGUUUGUUUUCCUUCUGAAGUUAUCCUGUUCUUCCCUGUGAGGGCUGAGUUAGGGGCUUCAUUAAGAUUCACCAAGUGAAGCUGUUUUUCUUUGAGUUUCCUCUUUUUCUCUUAUAUUCCCCACUGGAUGCAUUGUCACCUACUGGUUUGGUAACUCUUUUUCAAAGUCAUAUGACCAUUAUGGGGGUGAGUAGCUCUUCAUAAUUCAAAUUCUAUUCCUAUCCCUAAUUUCCCUCCUCCUAGACUCUUCUCUGUUCUAUUUUUCCUUUUGUCAACAUGGAAAUCUAGAAAUCUCCAGUUUAUUUAGUUUGAGGGUAGAAACCCCAAGUUUUGACCUUGUCACAGGAAAGGUUCCCCCUGAAGGAAGGUCCCACUUCGCCAGACAAUAGACAUCCACUUUAGCUUUGAUGCAGUAGGUAGCCUGUCAGUCUCACAAGCUGAAGGUCAGGAGUUAGAUCCAGGAAGGAGAGUGUGAUAUACUGGGAGAGGCUUCUGGAGACAAAAGAGCUGCUUGACUUGGGAUGGGAUCUGCCUCCCACCUAAAGAGGAUGUCUAUUGUCUAGUGAAGAGGGACCUUCCCUCAGGGAGAAACCUCUCCUGUGACAAGGUCAAAACCUGAGCUUUCUACCUCUCAACUAAAUAAACUGGAGACUUCUAGAUUUCCA
rnacentral:lncRNA from 1 species